rnacentral:lncRNA from 1 species
GGCUGGGUCUCACAGGGUCUUGGGGCACCAGAAGGACAUUGAGUGAGAGAGAGCCACUGUGGGGCUCUGAUAUAAUCUGACCUGCGUUCCGAUAGGAUGUCCCUGGCUGCUUGUGGAGGAUAAACUGCAAGGCAGGAGCAGAGAGACCCGUGAGGAGGUGACCGCAACAAUCCGGGUCCAGUGUCACCCUCUUGGAGAUCUCUCUGCCCGCUUCCCUGGAUUACCUAUGAGCCCUGGGGCAUGGCAGGAAGGUGACCUGAGCAGGAGACAGCGCACUGAGAUUUGAAGGAUGAGUCUGCAUUGUUCUUGUUACCGAACCAAGCUUGAGUCCACCCACCUCGGUGCAGCAAAGCCAAACCCUGACAUCAGGAUUUGCAGCGAGAGAAAGUGAGGCAUUGAUUGCAGGGCUCCAGGCAAGCGGAAUGAGGCAGCUAAUGCCUAAAACCUGAACUUCCCCAUGGCUUACAUUGUAAGUGUUUUUCAAGGUGAGGAGACAGAAUUACAGGCAAAGUCAUAAACUGACACAUGGAAGUUGCACAUUGGUUUAACUUAAAAAAGCAAAGCAUCUCCAGCAGGGUCUACAAGUCAAAGGUGAAUUCAAAGAUUCUUUCAUUUGUGUUUGAUUAAGGAAGCAAAAGUUUUUCUAAAAAGUUGGGGUCAACAGAAAGGAAUGUUAAGCCCUGGGCUCUGAAUAUGACUUCCUCCAGGCCUCUCGGGCAGAAAUUUAG